AUUGAACGCUGGCGGCAUGCCUUACACAUGCAAGUCGAACGGUAACAGGUCUUCGGAUGCUGACGAGUGGCGAACGGGUGAGUAAUACAUCGGAACGUGCCUAGUAGUGGGGGAUAACUACUCGAAAGAGUGGCUAAUACCGCAUGAGAUCUACGGAUGAAAGCAGGGGAUCGCAAGACCUUGUGCUACUAGAGCGGCCGAUGGCAGAUUAGGUAGUUGGUGGGAUAAAAGCUUACCAAGCCGACGAUCUGUAGCUGGUCUGAGAGGACGAUCAGCCACACUGGGACUGAGACACGGCCCAGACUCCUACGGGAGGCAGCAGUGGGGAAUUUUGGACAAUGGGCGCAAGCCUGAUCCAGCAAUGCCGCGUGCAGGAUGAAGGCCUUCGGGUUGUAAACUGCUUUUGUACAGAACGAAAAGCCCUGGGUUAAUACCCUGGGGUCAUGACGGUACCGUAAGAAUAAGCACCGGCUAACUACGUGCCAGCAGCCGCUGUAAUAC
rnacentral:rRNA from 1 species